rnacentral:rRNA from 1 species
AGGUAGUUUCGAUCCUGGCUCGAGGACGAACGCUGGCGGCGUGCUUAACACAUGCAAGUCGAGCGGUAAGGCCUUUCGGGGUACACGAGCGGCGAACGGGUGAGUAACACGUGGGUGAUCUGCCCUGCACUCUGGGAUAAGCCUGGGAAACUGGGUCUAAUACUGGAUAUGACCUCAGCAUGCAUGUGCUGGGGUGGAAAGCUUUUGUGGUGCAGGAUGGGCCCGCGGCCUAUCAGCUUGUUGGUGGGGUAAUGGCCUACCAAGGCGACGACGGGUAGCCGACCUGAGAGGGUGACCGGCCACACUGGGACUGAGACACGGCCCAGACUCCUACGGGAGGCAGCAGUGGGGAAUAUUGCACAAUGGGCGGAAGCCUGAUGCAGCGACGCCGCGUGAGGGAUGAAGGCCUUCGGGUUGUAAACCUCUUUCAGCAGGGACGAAGCGUCGAGUGACGGUACCUGCAGAAGAAGCACCGGCUAACUACGUG